AUUCAGAUUCUUACAACCUUUUGCAGGUAUCAGAUCUUGGGUAUUUUUCUGUUGAUUCAGUUGUGUAUUCUUGGAGCUGAAAGACUCGGAAGAAGUAAUAUAUCGGCAAUAGCUAGUUCCAUUAAUCAAAUAUCAUCUGGAAGCUAUCCAUCGACUACAGUAAUGUUAAACCAGGUCGGAGCAUCCAUCUUCUAAAUGAAGGUGGAAAUAUAGUCAGUAUCAUCCGCAGUGGUAAAGCUGCAGAUAUAGCUUCUCAUUCAGAGACCUCCAAUGGCAAGAGCAAAUGCACCUUGUGUCUCAGCAUCCGGCAAAAUCCUACUGCCACAACCUGUGGACAUGUUUUCUGCUGGUAAAAGUUGUUUUUUACAAUGAUCAUGUAUUGAGUCUUGACAGAUAUAAAUUUUACACUUGAGCCAUCAACAGUAGUGAUGAACCUGCCAUCCUGGCUUACUUCUGCACUAGUGAC